GAAGGGAGGUCUGGGGAGGUCUAGGCAAGAAACCAGUAUUCCCACUCACUAACAAUCAAAAAAGAGAUGUUCCUGAGUGAUGUACUCAGUGCCUUCAGUUCUCACUGGGGUAGAGUUCCUUUGGGACUAUUUUCCUGUGUCUUUAGGGGAUGUAACCAAAUUAUACCACAUGAGAGCUUGUAAUUUUAAUGCGAUGCUGUAAGGGAAAACUAUAAACAUAACAGGAAAGACUGGAUGUUUUCCAUUCAUAUUUUUAGAAAGGUUGUUUCUCAUCUGUACACAUUAGUUUUCCAGCAUCUUUGGCAAGAUUUAAAUGAAUUAUUUAACUGGAAUUGAAAAGCAAGUCUUACUUCUAAAUUAAGCCAAUAAAAGCUCUUUUUUUUUCUUUUUUUUUUUUCCUUUUCUAAUUCUUAGAAUGUUACCACAGAAGAUAAAGAUCAAAUCCAGAUCCAAGAGGGGAUAAGGCUAUCAAAAUAUCAAACCUCUGAGAUGAUGGGUGGAAGGUAGUGCUUGGAGAGAGAUGACAAGCUAUGAUCAGAAGCGUGGUGUUGGAGGUAGUCACUGGAACAACAUCGCCCGAAAUUUGUGUCCACUUGAAAUGCUCCGUGUUUGUAAUCGCCGAGCAAGAAUGAGCAGGUCUUGGCUGUUGGCAUCUCUUUCACAAUAACUGAAGCAGGCUGAGUGAGAAGCGUACCCGAAAGAAAAGAGGGAGUUCAAAGAGAGCUGGAAGAUGGAGGCAAACAGGAAGAAUGAAAUGGAAGUGUCAAGUUUUUAAACAGAAAACAAAGAAGCCUAUAACCUAAAAACCCACAAGCCUAAAGGUAACAGUCAUUUCCUAUUUCUGUGAAAACUGUUGGGGUUUCUCUAAAGGAAGUGGGGUGUGGGGAGAGGACAGUUCCUGGUAUUUUCCUGAGAGUAGAAAGCAAAUAAAAGUUAUCAGGUUGCCUUUGUGACUGAAAUA
rnacentral:lncRNA from 1 species